GACGAACGCUGGCGGCGUGCUUAACACAUGCAAGUCGAACGGAAAGGCCCUGCUUUUGUGGGAUGCUCGAGUGGCGAACGGGUGAGUAACACGUGAGUAACCUGCCCUUGACUUUGGGAUAACUUCAGGAAACUGGGGCUAAUACCGGAUAGGAGCUCCUGCUGCAUGGUGGGGGUUGGAAAGUUUCGGCGGCUGGGGAUGGACUCGCGGCUUAUCAGCUUGUUGGUGGGGUAGUGGCUUACCAAGGCUUUGACGGGUAGCCGGCCUGAGAGGGUGACCGGCCACAUUGGGACUGAGAUACGGCCCAGACUCCUACGGGAGGCAGCAGUGGGGAAUAUUGCACAAUGGGCGGAAGCCUGAUGCAGCAACGCCGCGUGCGGGAUGACGGCCUUCGGGUUGUAAACCGCUUUCGCCUGUGACGAAGCGUGAGUGACGGUAAUGGGUAAAGAAGCACCGGCUAACUACGUG
rnacentral:rRNA from 1 species